rnacentral:rRNA from 1 species
AUUGAACGCUGGCGGCAGGCUUAACACAUGCAAGUCGAGCGGAUGAAGGUAGCUUGCUACUGGAUUCAGCGGCGGACGGGUGAGUAAUGCUUAGGAAUCUGCCUAUUAGUGGGGGACAACGUUCCGAAAGGAGCGCUAAUACCGCAUACGUCCUACGGGAGAAAGCAGGGGACCUUUGGGCCUUGCGCUAAUAGAUGAGCCUAAGUCGGAUUAGCUAGUUGGUAGGGUAAAGGCCUACCAAGGCGACGAUCUGUAGCGGGUCUGAGAGGAUGAUCCGCCACACUGGGACUGAGACACGGCCCAGACUCCUACGGGAGGCAGCAGUGGGGAAUAUUGGACAAUGGGGGGAACCCUGAUCCAGCCAUGCCGCGUGUGUGAAGAAGGCCUUUUGGUUGUAAAGCACUUUAAGCGAGGAGGAGGCUACCUAGAUUAAUACUUUAGGAUAGUGGACGUACUCGCAGAAUAAGCACC